ACAUGAUAAAAAAAUCAACUGAUUAAUUCAUGUAACGAACACAGAAAUGGUGGUGGAGGAACGAGUCGGGUUGAGAAAAGAACGAAACGUUCUUAUGAAGAAAAUUGUCACAAUUUCAAUCUAGUAAACAUAUGCUGGCACUUGAAGCAAUAUUUUUGGCGCGUCACCAAGCGGUUGGUUGAUAGUUUACUAUAACUUUGGACAUUGGGUAACAACGAGGGACGAAAAUAAUCUUCUAACGAGAUUCAUCGAAGAAUACAGAAGCGAAGGAAACUUAAAUAACGAUAUGAAAUAAACACUUAUUAAUAACGGG